rnacentral:sRNA from 1 species
UCUUGAGAUGCUCGAUGGAUGGGUGCAUUGAUUUGCAUAACUUAGUUCCUCUCACGGGGAAGGAAUGAGUCCCAUCUGUCUGCCUGGGGAGGGUGACAUUGGAAUGCCAUUUUUAGGCCGCUGUGAGAUGUUCUGAUGCCUCGUUCUCCAGAGCAAGGACUCUGUCCGUUUAUGCCAGCAAGUGCUUUAUUCUUUACUCAACUCCCUUCCUGAAAGCCCCUUGCAGCUCUCUGGUGCUUGGGCACGAUCCAAGCCAAAAAUUCUGUACAUUGCAUGGGUACAAACCAACGGGGGCUCUGGUCAAGUCGUGCAGUAGAUGGUGGUCUAGGGGUCCUGGUUGGCACCCCUAAGGCUAGGUCAGAUUUGGGGCCAGGGCAGUCCAGGAGAAGUGCAUUUAUGUCAGCUUGGGGAGGUCACAAAUCCGUGCUGUGUCCAAGCCCACCAGGAAUGGAUUCAGGUGUUCAGAGGCGUGGGGAUUCACCAGGUUUAACCCAGGCCCAUGUGAGCGCCACUGGCCCUAGAAUUAGCCUCACCUGGCGCCGGCCUUUUUGUGAUGGCUCCUGAUUAAAUACCCACUAAUUCUGGAUCUGCUGGUGACCACAGAGUUCACCUGGGGGGUCCCCUACAGGCAGCAUUCAAUCCAGGAAGUGCCAGCAUCACCUGGUGACUUCUGGUAGCUGUAACGUUUAGUGACUCUCUCCAUGUCAUGCAGAGGGGUGACAUCGAGACCCUCUUAUGCCUGGGAAGUUCCUGCUGUCAAUGCAGAAUAUUCUUUAAAAAAAAAUUAGAGAUGGAAUCUCACUAUGUUGCCCAUGCUGGUCUCAAACUCCUAGCCUCAAGUGAUUCUCCCACCUUGGCCUCCUAAAAUGCUGGGAUUACAGGCAUGAGCCAUUGUGCCUAGCCUAGAAUAUUCUUUCUUUCUUUUUUUUUUUUUUGAGACGGAGUUUCGCUCUUGUUGCCCAGGCUGGAGUGCAAUGGCAUGAUCUCGGCUCACCGCAACCUCCGCCUCCCAGGUUCAAGCAAUUCUCCUGCCUCAGCCUCCCAAGUAGCUGGGAUUACAGGCAUGCACCACCACGCCUGGCUAAUUUUGUAUUUUUAGUAGAGACAGGGUUUCUCCAUGUUGAGGCUGGUCUCGAACUCCUGACCUCAGGUGAUCCGCCCGCCUUGGCCUCCCAAAGUGCUGGGAUUACAGGCGUGAGCCACCGCGCCCGGCCUAGAAUAUUCUUGACUUAAUUUAUCUUAUUUUUUAUUUUUAUUUUUUUGAGACAGUCUCACUGUGUCACCCAGGCUGGAGUGCAGUGGCAUGAUCUUGGCUCAAUGCAACCUCCACCUCCCAGAUUCAAGCGAUUCUCGUGCCUCAGGCUCCCAAGUAGCUGGGACUACAGGUGUGUGCCACCACGCCUGGCUAAUUUUUGUAUUUUUAAUAGAAAUGGGGUUUCACCAUGUUGGCCAGGCUGGUCUCGAACUCCUGACCUCAAGUAAAGUCCCACCUCAGUCUCCUAAAGUGCUGGAAUUACAGGCAUGAGCUUCUGCGCCCAGAGUAUUCUUGAACAAUUUAACCUGUUUCGGACUCAAGGGUGCCUGGGUGGCUCUGGUUCCUGCCCUGGUUUCCCUGGGAGUGCUUGUGGCCAUUGGGAUACUCCCAAGAAGGUGAUCCAAGGAGCUGAGAAGGGGAGGGAUCAGCUGCUUAUGGGGCCAUGGCCUGUUGCCUCCAGGAGGAGCUCGCAGCCCUCAUCUCUGAGCUGAAGCAGGAGCAGAAGAAGGUGAAUGAGCUCAUCGCCAAACUGGUGAACAACCGGACCCGAAUCGUCGUGAGUGCCCCUUCCCUCUGCCCCUGCCUGGGACCGGCCACCUUCACUUUCCUGUAGAGCUCAGUUCUCAUUGGUCCUUUACAGAAAAUCAUGCCUUCCAUAUAAAGCCAGAACUCAAAGCAUUCCGGGGCGGGGUGGGGAAAGCGCAAAUCCUCUCAGGGGAAUUCAACCCAGUUGUCGUCAGGACUGGCUCCAAGUUGGCUUUUGCCCUCUGUGUCCUUGAGACUGAGAUAACCCAGGACUUGAGUCUCGGGGUAAACAGCUCAAAGCAUGGGUGUGACUCCUCCGCCCCUGUGCCACCUGUGCCUGCUUGACCUUGCCAGCCUGUCACGGUGCCCUCCCAGUACCUGGGUGCGCAGGCAUGGAGAGGCUGGCAGCCCUGGGCCCUGGCUGAUCACCCGAAAUGAGAGGCACAUGGGGCUGGGAGGCGUGGAGCCCUGGCCCUGGAGGUGGCUGUGAAACGGAAACAGGAGCCGAGCAAGAUCCAGGAGCACUAGGCAUCCCUCAUUUACCCUCCACACCCUUGCGCGGCAGGCGGUAUCAGCCCUGCCUGGUGGAGGCAGAGCUCAGGGUUCUGCAGGGAGUUCUGGCUCCCUCACAGCAAAGCCUGCUCGCCCAGGGCCUUCCUGCUUUCCUUCAGUUGUGGAACUCUGUGAUACAACAAAAUCUUACAUGCACACUUAAUAGCUGAAAUAGGCAAAGUGGGGUGUGGUGGUGUGCAUCUGUAAUCCCAGUAACUCGGGAGGCUGAGGCGGGAGGAUUGCUUGAGGCUGGGAGGUCAAGGCUGCAGUGAGCUAUGGUCAUGCCACUGUGCUCCAGCCUGGGCAACAGAGUGAGACCCUGUCUCUUAAAAAAAAUUACAACAGGCCAAAACAGAGCCACUCCAUUUGAAAUGGGAGCUGGGGUCACCCUCCCCAUGGCCACCGCCAGGGCUCCCCACGCAUGGGGUGAACUCCCUGCCUGGUGCCAGACCAUGCAGCCUCCCUUGAGACUCAGGUCCCAGGACCAGCCUGGUCAGGAAGGCCCUGGGGACACCGAGGCCAGCCAGACAGAGCCUGGCAGCUCAGCUGUGACUCUGCAGUGACCAGCCCUCCCUGUCCCAGAAUGAGUCGGAUGUCUUCAGCUGGGUGAUCCGCCGCGAGUUCCAGGAGCUGCACCACCUGGUGGACGAGGAGAAGGCCCGCUGCCUGGAGGGGAUAGGGGGUCACACCCGUGGCCUGGUGGCCUCCCUGGACAUGCAGCUGGAGCAGGCCCAGGGAACCCGGGAGCGGCUGGCCCAAGCCGAGUGUGUGCUGGAACAGUUUGGCAAUGAGGGCCACCACGAGUUCAUCCGGAAGUUCCACUCCAUGGCCUCCAGGUAAUAACCUUGGAGAGAGCUCAGCCAGGGUCUGGUGGCUGCGGGCACGGGCAUCUCAGCUCCACUGGUUUCUCCAUGCGGCUUAACCAGCGCCUCCCAAGCAGCUGCCCACAGCUGGCACUAUAACUGAGCCUGGGGAAAACAGAGGAAAGUCACAUCCCUGCCUUCAAGGGUCUCGCAGACGGGUGGGGAGGCAGAUGGUGAACUGUGGGUACCUAGAACAGCAGAAGUUCACUCAAGGUACAGAAAUACUAGAGGAGGGUAGUUCAUGCCUGCAAUCCCAGUACUUUGGGAAGCCAAGGCAGGAGGAUUGCUUGAGGCCAGGAGUUCGAGACCAGCCUGGCCAAUGUAGUAAGACCCCAUCUCUACAAAAAAUACAAAAAUAAAAAAAUUAGCUGGG